UCGAACGAUGAAGCCCUUCGGGGUGGAUUAGUGGCGAACGGGUGAGUAACACGUGGGCAAUCUGCCCUUCACUCUGGGACAAGCCCUGGAAACGGGGUCUAAUACCGGAUAACACUCUGUCCUGCAUGGGACGGGGUUGAAAGCUCCGGCGGUGAAGGAUGAGCCCGCGGCCUAUCAGCUUGUUGGUGGGGUAAUGGCCUACCAAGGCGACGACGGGUAGCCGGCCUGAGAGGGCGACCGGCCACACUGGGACUGAGACACGGCCCAGACUCCUACGGGAGGCAGCAGUGGGGAAUAUUGCACAAUGGGCGAAAGCCUGAUGCAGCGACGCCGCGUGAGGGAUGACGGCCUUCGGGUUGUAAACCUCUUUCAUCAUGGAAGAAGCGCAAGUGACGGUACCUGCACAAGAAGCGCCGGCUAACUACGUGCCAUCAGCCGCGGUAAUACGUAGGGCGCAAGCGUUGUCCGGAAUUAUUGGGCUUAA
rnacentral:rRNA from 1 species